CUCUCUCUUUCUCAUUUAAUUUGAUAACAUGGUAAAUAACUAAUCCAUGUAAAAACUUUUGAAACUUUUAUUUAAGUUUAUAUAUAUUAUUUUAGGUGUCCCUUUUAUUCUGUGAUAUAACUUAUUCCUUUGUCCAACUAUUAACGUGAAGAAAUAGCAGAAAAUCAUGCAUAACUCAUUGCAUACGUGGUUUCUCAAUAUUAAUAUGCCUUGGUAUGGCGAAUAUUUUAUGGGAGUCAUGAAAAUAGUUAUGAGGGCAAAUACCGAUGUGAUCUCGAGAAUAUCACGUCGUUUUUAUUCUCUGCUUUUACCAGUCUAUAAAUCCAUCAAAUAAAGAUAGUUCAUAUCUUUCUGCACGGCAUUGUAGAAUACUUUAAAUUUUCAAACAGAAAAAUCAUUCAUAAAAAUAUAAAUACUAUAAAAGAAAAUAAACACAGAAGAGAUAAGAACUUAAUGAACAUCGAUUAUUAUUCUUACUUUUUUCGAAACGAAUGAUUUCUUUUUUUAUAGAAAAAUAUCAAGAAAAUAUAACUUUUGAAAAAAAAAGAAAAUGAUUUGACAGAAUUCAUUAUUAAUUUCUGAAGAAUAAUCAUUUCUAAAAGCAGAACGAUAAAGGCUCAACAAUCUCUCGUAUCGUUUUGGCCAUAACAUAAUUCUUUAUCAUUAACAAAUAAACGCCAUAAAUCUUGGUAUGUUUCUAAAACGACAUUAUUCGUGUGCGAGAUAUCAAAGUAAACUCAGAUCCUGUUUUAUACCAUCAUUUUUCAACAUCGUUCCUACUCCCUAGAGAAAAGAAUAUAGAGUAUAUUACUUGAAUUCUUACGCUUUUCUUUCAAGGUAAGUAACAUCUUAAGAAAAAGAAUGCAAGAAGUAUCUCGGGCGAGGAUAAUAAAAACAAAAAAAAAGAAAGAAAAAAAAA